rnacentral:rRNA from 1 species
AACGAACGCUGGCGGCAUGCCUAACACAUGCAAGUCGAACGAGACCUCCGGGUCUAGUGGCGCACGGGUGCGUAACGCGUGGGAACCUGCCCUUAGGUUCGGAAUAACUCCCCGAGAGGGGUGCUAAUACCGGAUAAUGUCUUCGGACCAAAGAUUUAUCGCCUUUGGAUGGGCCCGCGUUGGAUUAGCUGGUUGGGAGGGUAAAAGCCUACCAAGGCGAGGAUCCAUGGCUGGUCUGAGAGGAUGACCCUCCACGCUGGGACUGAGGCCCGGCCCAGACUCCUACGGGGGGCAGCAGUGGGGAAUAUUGGACGAUGGGCGAAAGCCUGAUCCAGCAAUGCCGCGUGAGUGAUGAAGGCCUUAGGGUUGUAAAGCUCUUUUACCCGGGAUGAUAAUGACAGUACCGGGAGAAUAAGCUCCGGCUAACUCCGUG